UGCUCGCGCUCAGCGACGACCUCAUCAAUGUACUUCCUUGCCUCCCAUCUCGAUCUUGUCUCCCACCCCUCUUUUUGCCUCUGGCCUGAUCCGGCCUCUGGCUGCAGUCCAACAUUUUCAUCGAGGGCGUCUCCCACAAGAUCCGCCGGUAGAUCGAGGACCUGGAGUGCGCCAGAGGGGUCAAGCCCGGCACCCUCACCGUCGACGGCGUCCCCGUCGACAGCUACCUCACCAGGUUCGUGUGGGACGAGGGCAAGUACCCCAUCAACGCCCCGCUCAAGGAGACCGUCGCCAGCAUCUAGUCCUAGGUCGCCAAGAUCGAGGAUGACAUGAAGUUGAAGGAGUUCAUUCUGUGCAGCCGGAGGCGUACGAUUUCAAGAUCGGCGACCAGUUUUUUUGGAGGCCUGGACACCCACCCCUGGACCAAGUUAUCGAGAUGCUACAGAAGCACAAGGAUAAGUCUCAAGAUGAAAUCUAGCUAGCUGGCUACAGUAUGCCUUAUGCUCUCGUUGAUUUAUUUCUUUGCGCUCUUUUGCAGUUCUAUAUUGAUGAGUGAGCGAUCUGGUAGCAGCUAGCUAACUGCCUCUAGAUUGUAACCCUAUUAUGGGAUGUGUGGUUGCGCAUGUGUUCUACAUUGUCAAAUGUGUUCUCUGUUGUCACACAUCGUAUGUGAUGUCCAUAGUUUUUAUAUUUGUUGUCAUGCAAUGCGGUCACUGAAUUGCUCAAAUUUGCUGGCCAAGUACUAUGUAGUGCUGUUCUAUGCUAGGCUACCAAGCUAGGUAACUUCUGUAUCAAAAUCAUGGGUUCUAAUCUUUACUAUUAUCUGCCAUGGAUCAACAAUGAUGCGUCACAGGUAGUAGUAGUAGAGUCGGACUUGGUGCUGCAUUGCCCAGUUAUUAGCUCCUCGAUCUGUUCCUCACAGCGUGGGGUCAGCACUUUACCUCAACUUGUCUGCAUUUUCUCUCACACACUAGACUUGCUCAUCCAUAACAUAAUGGUAGUGCGUGAGUGAGUCAUGUAGGUAUGUUUGUUUUUAGGCUGGUUGUAGAUGGCUUUGUAUGUUAUGGUAGUGUGCUUGCUCUCCCUGCUCUGCUUUCGCUUGGAGAAGAGAAGCGCAGAGCAGAGCAGGGUAAGUAAAACAAACAACACUUGUUUGCAGCUAAUGCGUACAAACACACUAGCAGCUCUCUAAUUAGAACAACGGAUGCUGUGCAACUCCCUACUAGUAGAUACCAACCACAUGUACCUACGGAUUUACUACUAAAUCUAAUUACAGUACUACCAGAUGUUGUGUGAUUCCUUCCAUUCUAUGAUAGAUAAAGGAAGUACUUCAUCAGUAACGAGACAUGCUAAUUUGGUGCUGAAAUUUAUAA